GAGAAGCAGUGUGAUAUAGUUUUCUGCCAAACCAGAAAUCAAGGCCUUGGACAUGCCUUUUCUCUGUUAGGGAUAGGGGUAGUGUAUGUUUUCUGACAGUUGCGCCUUUCAAGAUUAAUGAGUUUAUGAGAACUGUGUGUCUUCCUCCAAAAGCCGUCAGUGUUACCAGCAGCAUGAUAGUGCAGUCCUGACAUUGGAAUCCAAAAGACAGAAUGUGAACAGCUGUCGUCCCACCUGUGCAUAGCUGCACAGAGGCCAAGCAGCAGUGGCAUAAGCCAAGGACUAUGGUAUGUUUUAAUUGCUAUACAACAUACUGUAUCAACAUCAUAUGGUUAUAAUCACAUCAUAAUGCUAAGAAAUUAUUUAAUGAAAACUUAAAUCGUCUCAUGAAUAGAUUAAAAUAGUGCCCUUGUACUGUCUUUUUACAGGGUCUGAAACCUGGGCCCAUAGGCAAAAUGGCCAUCACCAAGCCCACCAAAAGCACAUGGCAAAAGGAGGGAUUAGGUGAGUAUUCCCUAAUAGCCAGUAUAGUAGGUAGUAGCUGGUCUUGUCCUAUAACACUUUAACUAUAUAAAAUGAUUUAAUUUCAGGUGGUUUCAAGUACAUUGUUUAGAUUGGCUAACCACAGUGGCUGCUUUGCAGAAGUACACUACAGCGCCCUUCUUGGAACGCUCCCUGACUUCUCAGUUCUCCAGAUAGAAGAGACAUACAAUAACUUUAACCCUCUAUCCAAGCCAUUGAUCUGCAACAUGGGGAAGUCUGCUGAAAAGCUUUUAGUCGACUCCCACUUUGGAAAGGUACAGGUGGGGAACCUCCUGUCUUACCAGCAGCCUCCAAUCCCAACGUGACACAUAGUUCACCAUAAGGAGAGCCCACCAUUCCCCUCACUGCCCCUAAAUGGCUACGGACUGAGGAGAGAAACUUUCAAAGCUGCACAUUUGUGUUCAGUGAAGAAGACCAGCUUCACAUAGUCUCUUCGGGUGAGCUUCGCAACAGCCCAUAAAAUAGAGGAAGCUGCUAGAAAACAGAGUGCUGUCUCUGACUGGCAGGUGCUCUGGAAACCAAGACUGACCACGUCACGGUUCCGAGAGGCUUGCCAUGAGAGAGGGCUGACAUCCGCAGGCAAUCUAGCUGAAAGGAUCCUCUAAGACACAGCACCAAAACCUGACAUGAAGAGAGGACUGGAGUUGGAGAUGGAAGCAGCCAAUGACUACUUGAAGAUGC
rnacentral:lncRNA from 1 species